AACGCUAUCUACAGGCUUAACACAUGCAAGUCGAGGGGCAUCAGGAAGAAAGCUUGCUUUCUUUGCUGGCGACCGGCGCACGGGUGAGUAACACGUAUCCAACCUGCCCUUUACUCGGGGAUAGCCUUUCGAAAGAAAGAUUAAUACCCGAUAGCAUAAUGAUUCCGCAUGGUUUCAUUAUUAAAGGAUUCCGGUAAAGGAUGGGGAUGCGUUCCAUUAGGUUGUUGGUGAGGUAACGGCCCACCAAGCCUUCGAUGGAUAGGGGUUCUGAGAGGAAGGUCCCCCACAUUGGAACUGAGACACGGUCCAAACUCCUACGGGAGGCAGCAGUGAGGAAUAUUGGUCAAUGGGCGCUAGCCUGAACCAGCCAAGUAGCGUGAAGGAUGAAGGCUCUAUGGGUCGUAAACUUCUUUUAUAUAAGAAUAAAGUGCAGUAUGUAUACUGUUUUGUAUGUAUUAUAUGAAUAAGGAUCGGCUAACUCCGUGCCAGCAGCCGCGGUAAUACGGAGGAUCCGAGCGUUAUCCGGAUUUAUUGGGUUUAAAGGGAGCGUAGGUGGACUGGUAAGUCAGUUGUGAAAGUUUGCGGCUCAACCGUAAAAUUGCAGUUGAUACUGUCAGUCUUGAGUACGGUAGAGGUGGGCGGAAUUCGUGGUGUAGCGGUGAAAUGCUUAGAUAUCACGAAGAACUCCGAUUGCGAAGGCAGCUCACUGGACUGCAACUGACACUGAUGCUCGAAAGUGUGGGUAUCAAACAGGAUUAGAUACCCUGGUAGUCCACACAGUAAACGAUGAAUACUCGCUGUUUGCGAUAUACAGUAAGCGGCCAAGCGAAAGCAUUAAGUAUUCCACCUGGGGAGUACGCCGGCAACGGUGAAACUCAAAGGAAUUGACGGGGGCCCGCACAAGCGGAGGAACAUGUGGUUUAAUUCGAUGAUACGCGAGGAACCUUACCCGGGCUUAAAUUGCAGUGGAAUGAUGUGGAAACAUGUCAGUGAGCAAUCACCGCUGUGAAGGUGCUGCAUGGUUGUCGUCAGCUCGUGCCGUGAGGUGUCGGCUUAAGUGCCAUAACGAGCGCAACCCUUAUCUUUAGUUACUAACAGGUUAUGCUGAGGACUCUAGAGAGACUGCCGUCGUAAGAUGUGAGGAAGGUGGGGAUGACGUCAAAUCAGCACGGCCCUUACGUCCGGGGCUACACACGUGUUACAAUGGGGGGGUACAGAAGGCAGCUAGCGGGUGACCGUAUGCUAAUCCCAAAAUCCUCUCUCAGUUCGGAUCGAAGUCUGCAACCCGACUUCGUGAAGCUGGAUUCGCUAGUAAUCGCGCAUCAGCCACGGCGCGGUGAAUACGUUCCCGGGCCUUGUACACACCGCCCGUCAAGCCAUGGAAGCCGGGGGUACCUGAAGUACGUAACCGCAAGGAUCGUCCUAGGGUAAAACUGGUGACUG
rnacentral:rRNA from 1 species